GAUGAACGCUAGCUACAGGCUUAACACAUGCAAGUCGAGGGGCAGCAUGAACUUAGCUUGCUAAGUUUGAUGGCGACCGGCGCACGGGUGAGUAACACGUAUCCAACCUUCCGUUUACUCAGGGAUAGCCUUUCGAAAGAAAGAUUAAUACCUGAUAGUAUGGUGAGAUUGCAUGAUAGCACUAUUAAAGAUUUAUUGGUAAACGAUGGGGAUGCGUUCCAUUAGGUAGUAGGCGGGGUAACGGCCCACCUAGCCGACGAUGGAUAGGGGUUCUGAGAGGAAGGUCCCCCACAUUGGAACUGAGACACGGUCCAAACUCCUACGGGAGGCAGCAGUGAGGAAUAUUGGUCAAUGGGCGAGAGCCUGAACCAGCCAAGUAGCGUGAAGGAUGAAGGUCCUACGGAUUGUAAACUUCUUUUAUAAGGGAAUAAAACCUCCCACGUGUGGGAGCUUGUAUGUACCUUAUGAAUAAGCAUCGGCUAACUCCGUGCCAGCAGCCGCGG
rnacentral:rRNA from 1 species